rnacentral:rRNA from 1 species
GACGAACCGUACGAACGUUAUUCGGAAUUACUGGGCUUAAAGGGUGCGUAGGCGGCGCGGAAAGUAGGGUGUGAAAUCCCUCGGCUCAACCGAGGAACUGCGCUCUAAACUACCGUGCUCGAGGGAGAUAGAGGUGAGCGGAACUGAGGGUGGAGCGGUGAAAUGCGUUGAUAUCCUCAGGAACACCGGUGGCGAAAGCGGCUCACUGGAUCUCUUCUGACGCUGAGGCACGAAAGCUAGGGUAGCAAACGGG